GGAAACAGAAUGCACUAUCCAACUCACGGAUGACGAAUGGAUUCACGCACUGAACGCCAUAUCUAAAUGGACUAAGUGCUACACCCAUAUAGAAGCACAUAGAAAAUUACUGUACAGAUGGCACUUAACUCCCUACACUCUCCAUAAAAUUUACCCCAAUACGUCUCCUCUCUGCUGGAGAUGUUCGGCUGAGACAGGCACACAUACGCACAUAUGGUGGGCAUGUCCCAA